GACGUAGGGCGCGAGCGUUUGUCCGGAUUUAUUGGGCGUAAAGAGCUCGUAGGCGGCUCGUUGCGUCGGCUGUGAAAACCCGCGGCUCAACUGCGGGCCUGCAGCCGAUACGGGCAGGCGUAGAGUUCGGUAGGGGAGACUGGAAUUCCUGGUGUAGCGGUGAAAUGCGUAGAUAUCAAGAGGAACACCCUGGCGGCGAAGGCGGGUUGCUGGGCCGACACGUGACGCUGGAUGCGCGAAAGCUAGGGGAGCGAACGGG
rnacentral:rRNA from 1 species